CCUACGGGAGGCAGCAGUGAGGAAUAUUGGUCAAUGGGCGGAAGCCUGAACCAGCCAAGUCGCGUGAGGGAAUAAGGCCCUACGGGUCGUAAACCUCUUUUGCCGGGGAGCAAGGGCGGGGACGUGUCCCGGCACGGAGAGUACCCGGAGACAAAGCAUCGGCUAACUCCGUGCCAGCAGCCGCGGUAAUAGGGAGGAUGCGAGCGGUAUCCGGAUUUAAUGGGUUUAAAGGGUGCGUAGGCGGGCUUUUAAGUCAGCGGUAAAAAUUCGGGGCUCAACCCCGUCCGGCCGUUGAAACUGGGGGCCUAGAGUGGGCGAGAAGAAGGCGGAAUGCGUGGUGUAGCGGUGAAAUGCGUAGAUAUCACGCAGAACCCCGAUUGCGAAGGCAGCCUUCCGGCG
rnacentral:rRNA from 1 species